GGCCCCGUAGCUCAGCCUGGUUUAGAGCGCUGGUCUUAUAAGCCAGCGGUCCCGUGUUCAAAUCACGGCGGGGCCA
rnacentral:tRNA from 1 species